rnacentral:rRNA from 1 species
AGAGUUUGAUCAUGGCUCAGAUUGAACGCUGGCGGCAGGCCUAACACAUGCAAGUCGAACGGUAACAGGAAGCAGCUUGCUGCUUCGCUGACGAGUGGCGGACGGGUGAGUAAUGUCUGGGAAACUGCCUGAUGGAGGGGGAUAACUACUGGAAACGGUGGCUAAUACCGCAUAACGUCGCAAGACCAAAGAGGGGGACCUUCGGGCCUCUUGCCAUCAGAUGUGCCCAGAUGGGAUUAGCUUGUUGGUGAGGUAACGGCUCACCAAGGCGACGAUCCCUAGCUGGUCUGAGAGGAUGACCAGCCACACUGGAACUGAGACACGGUCCAGACUCCUACGGGAGGCAGCAGUGGGGAAUAUUGCACAAUGGGCGCAAGCCUGAUGCAGCCAUGCCGCGUGUAUGAAGAAGGCCUUCGGGUUGUAAAGUACUUUCAGCGGGGAGGAAGGUGUUGCGGUUAAUAACCGCAGCAAUUGACGUUACCCGCAGAAGAAGCACCGGCUAACUCCGUGCCAGCAGCCGCGGUAAUACGGAGGGUGCAAGCGUUAAUCGGAAUUACUGGGCGUAAAGCGCACGCAGGCGGUCUGUCAAGUCGGAUGUGAAAUCCCCGGGCUCAACCUGGGAACUGCAUUCGAAACUGGCAGGCUUGAGUCUUGUAGAGGGGGGUAGAAUUCCAGGUGUAGCGGUGAAAUGCGUAGAGAUCUGGAGGAAUACCGGUGGCGAAGGCGGCCCCCUGGACAAAGACUGACGCUCAGGUGCGAAAGCGUGGGGAGCAAACAGGAUUAGAUACCCUGGUAGUCCACGCCGUAAACGAUGUCUACUUGGAGGUUGUGCCCUUGAGGCGUGGCUUCCGGAGCUAACGCGUUAAGUAGACCGCCUGGGGAGUACGGCCGCAAGGUUAAAACUCAAAUGAAUUGACGGGGGCCCGCACAAGCGGUGGAGCAUGUGGUUUAAUUCGAUGCAACGCGAAGAACCUUACCUGGUCUUGACAUCCACAGAAGAAUCCAGAGAUGGAUUUGUGCCUUCGGGAACUGUGAGACAGGUGCUGCAUGGCUGUCGUCAGCUCGUGUUGUGAAAUGUUGGGUUAAGUCCCGCAACGAGCGCAACCCUUAUCCUUUGUUGCCAGCGAUUAGGUCGGGAACUCAAAGGAGACUGCCAGUGAUAAACUGGAGGAAGGUGGGGAUGACGUCAAGUCAUCAUGGCCCUUACGACCAGGGCUACACACGUGCUACAAUGGCGCAUACAAAGAGAAGCGACCUCGCGAGAGCAAGCGGACCUCAUAAAGUGCGUCGUAGUCCGGAUUGGAGUCUGCAACUCGACUCCAUGAAGUCGGAAUCGCUAGUAAUCGUGGAUCAGAAUGCCACGGUGAAUACGUUCCCGGGCCUUGUACACACCGCCCGUCACACCAUGGGAGUGGGUUGCAAAAGAAGUAGGUAGCUUAACCUUCGGGAGGGCGCUUACCACUUUGUGAUUCAUGACUGGGGUGAAGUCGUAACAAGGUAACCGUAGGGGAACCUGCGGUUG